UCACAGUUUGCACUGGCAGUCUUGUUAGAGUUCCCGACAUGACUCGCUGGCAACUAACAACAGGGGUUGCGCUCGUUAUAGGACUUAACCUGACACCUCACGGCACGAGCUGACGACAACCAUGCAGCACCUUGUAAAUUGCCCGAAGGAAAAUCUGUUUCCAGACCUGUCAAUCUACAUUUAAGCCUUGGUAAGGUUCCUCGCGUAUCAUCGAAUUAAACCACAUGCUCCACCGCUUGUGCGGGCCCCCGUCAAUUCCUUUGAGUUUCAAACUUGCGUUCGUACUCCCCAGGUGGGAUACUUAUCACUUUCGCUUAGCCACUCAGUCUUGCGACCGAACAGCUAGUAUCCAUCGUUUACGGCGUGGACUAC
rnacentral:misc_RNA from 1 species